rnacentral:lncRNA from 1 species
GGUCGGUUCUGCCGGGCCCCGCCGGUGCGCCCCGCCCCUGCACGCACAGCAGGCCCAGGCGGAGCGGCGGGACGCCCCAGUCCAGCCCGAGCGGUGGCAUCCGAGCGGGAGCCGGAGCCCGAGUGGGACCGGAGCUGGAGCCGAAGCUGGAGCCGGCACUGCGGCGCACGGAGCGGAGCGCCGCAGCCAAGCCGAUAGCACGAUACAAUCGUACCAGCUACUUCUACCCCACCACUUUCUCCGAGAGCUCUGAGCACAGCCACCUGCUGGUGUCUCCAGUGUUGGUGGCAAGCGCUGUCAUAGGUGUGGUCAUCACUCUCUCCUGCAUUACCAUCAUUGUGGGAAGCAUCAGAAGGGACAGACAGGCCCGGAUCCAGAGACACCACCAUCGUCAU